GUAGGGUACGGAGACAUGUAUCCAAACACUUUCCUCGGAAGAGUGGUUGGUUCUUUGGCUGCAAUUUGUGGAGUUCUGUUGAUUGCUGUCACCAUCCCCGUAUUCGUCAAUAAU
rfam:Lottia gigantea unplaced genomic scaffold LOTGIsca_24, whole genome shotgun sequence.